rnacentral:tRNA from 1 species
GUGGCUAUAGCUCAAUUGGUUAGAGCGCUGGACUGUGGCUCCAGAGGCUGGGGGUUCAAGUCCCCUUAGCCACC